CCCACUGACCAUCAAAUUCAAUGUGAAGUCGUGAAGACCAAACACUGCUGUAAUAUUUCAGAGUAUCAUUUGAUGAAAUUGUCUGAAUUUUCAACUGUCUACAGAGAGCCUUCUGGGUACCAGGAACAGCCCUUUUGUGAGACAACACUGAAACAUUUCCAAAAGAGAGACAAGAUGCUCCAAGUGUUAUAAUCAUGUAGAAGAUACAACAAGAAACUCAGCUUUUAAAAUACCUGGAUUGGAACACCUGGCAGUCUUAGUCAGUGGAGCACGUGACUCUUGAUCUCCGGGAUAUGAGUUCAAGCCCCAUGUUGAUUGUAGAGAUUACAUAAAUAGACUUAAAAAAAAAAAAAAAAACAACCUGGAUCAACAGACUUUCUUGCCUGAGUUUUCAAUUUAUCUUUGGUUAUCUGCAAAACUAUUAUCUCCCCCGUAGGAGUAAGAUGAUACAAAUAAAAUGUACUCAAACAGGUAGUUUCCCUCA
rnacentral:lncRNA from 12 species